rnacentral:rRNA from 1 species
ACAAGGUCUUCGUUGGUGAACCAGCGGAGGGAUCAUUACUGAGUUUACAACUCCCAAACCCAAUGUGAACGUUACCAAACUGUUGCCUGGGCGGGGUCACGCCCCGGGUGCGUAAAAGCCCCGGAACCAGGCGCCCGCCGGAGGAACCAACCAAACUCUUUGUGUAGUCCCCUCGCGGACGUAUUUUUUACAGCUCUGAGCAAAAAUUCAAAAUGAAUCAAAACUUUCAACAACGGAUCUCUUGGUUCUGGCAUCCAUGAAGAACGCAGCGAAAUGCGAUAAGUAAUGUGAAUUGCAGAAUUCAGUGAAUCAUCGAAUCUUUGAACGCACAUUGCGCCCGCCAGUAUUCUGGCGGGCAUGCCUCUCCGAGCGUCAUUUCAACCCUCGAACCCCUCCGGGGGAUCGGCGUUGGGGAUCGGGACCCCUCACCGGGGGCCGGCCCUGAAAUACAGUGGCGGUCUCGCCGCAGCCUCUCCUGCGCAGUAGUUUGCACAACUCGCACCGGGAGCGCGGCGCGUCCACGUCCGUAAAACACCCAACUUCUGAAAUGUUGACCUCGGAUCAGGUAGGAAUACCCGCUGAACU